rnacentral:rRNA from 1 species
UACGUAGGGGGCUAGCGUUGUCCGGAAUCAUUGGGCGUAAAGCGCGUGUAGGCGGCCCGAUAAGUCCGCUGUGAAAGUCCAGGGCUCAACCCUGGGAUGCCGGUGGAUACUGUCGGGCUCGAGUCCGGAAGAGGCAAGUGGAAUUCCUGGUGUAGCGGUGAAAUGCGCAGAUAUCAGGAGGAACACCAAUGGCGAAGGCAGCUCGCUGGGACGUGACUGACGCUGAGACGCGAAAGCGUGGGGAGCAAACAGG